AUGGCCGCCGACGUGUUCAUGCGGCCGGCGCGGCUGCUCGGGGCGGCGGGGCCGCUGUCCCCCCGCACGGAGCCCGACGAGGACUCGUCGGACACGGACGAUGGCGGAACGUCGCCGGGCGGGGGGCGGCGGUGCGGGCCGCGGCGGGGGCAGCCCCCGGGCCCGCAGAUCAUCCACUCGGGGCACUUCAUGGUCUCGUCGCCGCACAGCGAGCACCCGCCCAAGAAGGGCUACGACUUCGACACGGUCAACGAGCAGACCUGCCAGACCUACCAGUUCGGGGCGGCCCGCGGCGGCGGCGGCGCCGGCGGCCGCCUCAGCAUCGACGCGUCCCUCACGAAGCUGUUCGAGUGCAUGUCCCUGGCCUACAGCGGAAGGUUGGUUUCACCAAAAUGGAAAAAUUUUAAGGGAUUGAAGCUUCAGUGGAGAGAUAAAAUCCGUCUCAAUAACGCCAUCUGGAGGGCCUGGUACAUGCAGUACCUGGAGAAGCGCAAGAACCCCGUGUGCCACUUUGUGACCCCUCUGGACGGCUCCGUGGACGUCGAUGAGCACCGGCGGCCAGAGGCCAUUGCAACAGAAGGGAAAUACUGGAAACGAAGAAUUGAAAUAGUCAUUAGGGAAUACCACAAGUGGAGAACAUACUUCAAGAAAAGGUUACAGAAACACAAAGAUGAAGAUCUUUCAAGUUUGGUCAGGGAUGAUGAUGUGGUUCUCUGGCAAAAAAGAAGGUAUGGCAGAGAAACCCCUGUCCCCAUGGAGGAAGGCAGCCUCCUGGAUGCAGACAUGCUCAUGUCCGAGUUCACCGACACCCUGUUCUCCACGCUCUCUUCACAUCAGCUGGUUUCCUGGCCAAAUUCCAGGGACAUAGGACACUUAGGAAAUGCUGACAUGAUUCAACCAGGGCUUAUUCCUCUCCAGCCAAAUUUUGAUUUUAUGGAUACUUUUGAGCCUUUUCAGGAAUUAUUCACGCCUAGUCGCUCCAGUAAUUAUUUCCCUUCCGUGUCUGCUGUCAGCUCAGCUACCACAGACAGCAGCAGCCACUCUUCCCAGUCUCCUGGCCUGCCGGCGGGUUCGUUGCCCAGCACGCUUCCAGCAGGGAACAUCAGUGAUGGACUGAUUCCUUCCUCAGUACCCGCUCCUGUCAUUCCUGAUGUCGUUGCUGACCAGUGUUCCAGCAUUAGAAGUGGGGGAUCUUUCAUCCAGCCGGCAGACUUCCCUCCUGACUCGUCUCUCAGCGGGCCACAAACUUUUAUGUCGGUGUUCCAGCCGCCCCUGCCGCUGCUGCAGCCCACGAGCGCGCAGCAGCAGUCCCCGCUGCCCGCGGUGCCGCUCAGCUCCAGCCUGAGCCCCGCGCCCGCCGCCUUCGCCGCUCCGGAAACCCCCAAGUUCGGCCUCUGUGAAUCCUCGGUCAUCACUCACACGGCUUCUGCCACGCUGACCCACAACGCCCCUGCCACCACCUUCAGCCAGAGCCAGAGCCAGAGCCUGGUGCUGGCCACGCAGCAGCCCGGGGCAGGAGUGCCUUGUAACCUGGCCUUCCAGACUGCUGUUGUGCAGGGGCAGCCCCGGCCCCAGCUGCAGUCCCAGCUGACAUUUGCACUCCCCAAACCUGUUCCGCUGGCCAGUGCUGGGACAAGGCCCAAACAGUCACAAAAAAUAGUGCCUGCUCCGAAGCUUGAAACAGUGUCCUUAGUGGUAAAGAAUGCCUUCAUCACCCCAGCUGCCUUUCAGGGACAGUCCAGAGCUGUGAUUGUAACUCCAGCACCUUUAAAAAGAGAGGGGAUUUUGACGCCAGCCACGUCUCAGUCUAAUGUUGCAAUUGCACCAGCUGGAAUUGUCAGAGCUCCCGGGGUGACGGAGUUCCGUAGUAACAUUCUGGUUGGUCCAGCACAGCGAGCACCAAGUAGUCAACAAAGCCAGUCCACAGUCUCACAUCUCUUUCCUCCUAGUGUAGUCCAAGAUGUGUUGGUGAAAGGAGAGCACAUCCCUUCCCACUGUAGCAGUUCACAAGUUCCCUCACCUACACCUAGUCGGGACUGUCAGAAUUCAGGCCAGGCUUCCCCCUGCACCUCUGAGCAGAGCCCCAGUCCACAGUCUCCUCAGAACAGCUGCUCAGGAAAACCUGCCACUGACCCUACUGUGGCUGCACUUAAGAAUCGAAGGAUGAGGCAUCUUUCAGAACAAAAACGAAGGUCUAAUAUCAAGAUUGGUUUCAGUGCUCUGAACAGCUUGGUGUCAGCCAACUCCAAGUCGAUCAGCCAUGCCAUCACGCUGCAGAAGACAGUGGAAUACAUCGCCAAGCUGCAGCAGGAGAGGACCCAGAUGCAGGAGGAAACCCGGCGCCUCCGGGAGGAAAUCGAGGAGCUGAACGCCACCAUCCUUUCUUGCCAGCAGCAGCUCCCUGCUACCGGGGUUCCCGUAACGCGGCAAAGGUUUGACCACAUGAGGAAGAUGUUUGAUGAGUAUGUGAGAAGCAGGACCCUGCAGAACUGGAAGUUUUGGAUUUUCAGCAUUAUUAUUAAGCCAUUGUUUGAGUCCUUCAAUGGGAUGGUUUCCACAACAAGCUUUAAGGAUCUGAACGAAACUGCACUGGCCUGGUUGGAUCAGCACUGUUCUCUUCCUGUUCUGAGGCCAAUGGUGCUGAACACCCUGCGGCAGCUGAGCAGGACCACCUCGAUCCUGUCGGACCCGUUGCGGCUGCCGGAGCAGGCGCGGGAGGCUGUGAUGAAAUUGAACAAGAGAGCUGGGGAGACCUAACAACCAAAGACACUGAGGUGCUUGUCCCAGGGGUGGAGAACCUGCCAGGCCCUGCCUGCCCAGGCUCCUCCAGUCGGUGCACUUUAGAAAGGAUUCUCUCCAUCACCUGAGACAUUGUUCGGGGCACCUGGCCCUGCCUUGCGAAGAGGUGCAGGUGAUGCAGCGUUGUCAGAACGUUUGGGUUCCUCUCCAGUGCUGUGCUGUGCUCUGUCACGUGAGAAAAAACACCAAGCUCAGUAGAUUUGACACAUAAUUUGAAGUUUGUGGCACAUGUGAAAACCUGUGUCCCUGUGACAGAAGCCACAAAAUUCCAAGUCUCAGCCAAGGAAUGGUGUGCAAAGGUUGUCAUAGUAAUUAAAUAGUGAGUAGAUUUUCUGGAGGGAUCCAUUCCCAGAUCUUUCAUAAUGUAAUUAAUUAAGCAAUAUUCUUUUGGAUACAUCUGGGUAAGAAGUGUUAAAUAAGUAAAUCCUUUUUUUAAUCAGUGCUUUCAGUCCUCCCAUUUUUGUCACUAGUUGUGAAUUUAACUCCAGUAAAAUCUUUGUACACUGUGAUGAGCUGGGGAUGUCCCUUUUGUCCUUUCCUUGGUGGACUGAUCUCACUGUGUGUUAGAAACGUGUCUUGGUUUCUAGCAAGAAAGCAGCAGGCAUAUUGUCCAAGAGCUGGUGUUUUUGCUGACCUUUUCAGAUGAGCAGAUCCUGUAGUGCCUCCCUUGCAGUGUGGUCUCCUGCUUGUCAGCAGUGAUGGUGUGUGAUUUUUACCAUUUCUGGUAUCGAUGACGUGGGAGUUUUGUCCCAACAAUCACAGUGCAGUAGAAUCAUCCUUCAGGGCCCGGGGGGAUCUGAGAACUGAGACCCUAACAUCCCAUAUCUCACUGAAUGGAUUGGAAACUGAAAGCAGCCUUAAAGGAACAGGGAGGAGUAAUUCACCUGAACUGCCAAAAGCUUCGUCCAUUCACAGUUUUGAUGUGUAUGGAAAACUCAUCAAUCAGAUUGCACCAUGAGCUGGUUACAGUUGGAGGGAAAGUGCUUGUUUAACAAAUUGUUGUGCAGAAACAAACUCAAAGCACUAUUAAAACACUGCAAAUCUUAAAGAGAAAAAAAUUUAAGUAUUGCUUACUUAGGCAGGAGUGUAGGAGGGAGGAAAAGUGAAAAGAUACUUUCCAUUAGUGCAAUUACCAGAAAUGAUGUGGCCCCUCUUUGAAGCGGUGAUUCAAUAUGUUCUUGUCACCCUAUUGUUGCAGAUUAGAAUUCUUUUGUCAGUCAGCCUUGUGAGGAGAGUGAUUUCACUUCAUUUGGAAGCACAGGAGGAAAAAAGCUGGUUUAUGUCUCACAUCUUUAGAACCACUAAAGAUUGGUAUGGAAGGAGAUGGACCACGUAUGUAUUAGUUCCUGCAUAGUUUUUCACUUUGAUUUAUGUUUUAACACCUUAGUCUGUCUUUCUUACCCAUGAAGGAGUUAAAAUACUUUAUUUAUUUCAAAGUUUGGUAACACUUUCUCCUGUAAUUUAAGCACUCUGAUUUCUUCAGUGUCACCAAAGUAAGGAAACCAAACACACAGUGCCUAUAGUCUGCACAGAAUUGCAGGUGCUGCACAUCUGUCUGGUGCUAAACUUUUGGAGAACCCCCAUAUAACUGAAUAUAAGUUGUAUUCUGUCAAAUCCAACAUGUUUCACUCAGUAAAGGAGUGGCUAAAUAACUUAUGUAUGGCCUGUGAUAUGCACAAAGUCAAAAUGGGAUUGACUGCUGGUUCCUUCUGACCUCAAAUUUUUUUAAUUGGUAUAUUGUAAUGGCCCCACCCCAAAGACAAAUUCUUGAGAACUUGAGCAUUAUCUGGUGUAGUAAUUAGCUUGUAUUGUAGUUAUUGGCCUCCUUUUAGCAGGAGGAGGAAGAGGUGAAGGUCCAAGAGAAAACUAGAAUUGAAAGAAUUUCUGAGGAGUAGGAUCAGAGACAAGUGCACACUUCACCAUGGCAGUCUGAUCUCUGCACAAAACCAAAGGAUUCUUGGUUAAUACUGUUUGACCUGACUGGAAUGUUCUUCCAUGCUUUUCUAGACCCCUGGGGAGGGCUUCCUUGAAGGCAGGGGGGGGCUGCUAGAAUGUUUCCAUCUGUGCCUUAGAUCUUGGUGUCAUGCAUGCAUUUGAUUAAUCAAUCAUAAGUCAUCCAUUGUUCCCCCUAAAAUGAUGCUGUGUGGAAAAUUCAGAGAAUGGAGGAAGUGGGGCUUCCCUGGCUUUUUAGAGGGUUUUAUCUGUGUGACAUUGCUAUGACUCUUUCAGACUGAGGUUGUGAGUAACUGUUUCUAUGUUUGGAAAAAAUUGCAUCUUCCCUGCUGAAUCCGCUCCUCUCCACUGCCGUGUGCAGGAACACGUGUGCACACAUGGACAUAAAUCUCUGCUCUGCCAAACCCAGGGAACAGGCAAGGGCUUAAACCUCUACAUCAGAAUGGCUUCAAAAGACAAAGAGCUGUCAAAUGUAUUGAAAAACUGCAUCCUUUUUGUAUCUUCAGGGUUUUUUACAUUCCUCUGUGUGUGUGUGUUUGUGUUCACAUGUGGUAGAAGGGACAGGGUUAGGUAAAUUUAGUUUUGUUUGCUUUUAAAGCCCAAAACUCCUGAAAAGCAGUUUGAGAAUAGGAGAGGAAAGCUCACUGCAGGAAUGUUGAUUAAGAUAAUGCUUGCUUGAAGGCUGUUUCACUUUCUCAGUUUCUGAAGUGAAUAAUUCUUGCCUUGAUGUUGCCAGCUAGAAGGUACUGCUGAAAAUUGAAUGGGUUUUUCACCGUUUUCUCCUUUUCUUUCUAUUUUUUUCGUUCCUUCCCACCUUCAUUGCAUAGAAAACCACCAAAAAACAAAAGGCUGAUGACAUCCAGUUCAGGUUCUUUAGGGAUUCAGUCACACCAGUCUUGGAGGACUGUGGACAAUUGUUGAUAACUUCUAGGAGUUUUUUAAAUUAGGUGAGACAUCAGGAGUUUUUCUAUUACUCCUCAAUUUAUACACUCGAGUUUCAGAGGAGGUGAUUUGUUUUGGGCUUUUUUCUCUAAUAGGACCCCAAUAUUUUUCCCACAACAUCAGUUAAAGCUCUAGUUAUCUUUGGUUUCAUUCUUGGUUGGAUUUUCUGCUCAUUUACUGUGUUAGAACAGAAUUGGUAGAACCAAACUAGCUUUACCUGUAAAACUUGAGUUCUUCAGUUACAAUUGCAGUAACUUACAUUGAAACACACCUUUGGUAUAGAAUGGAAUUAAUUUCUAGCCACUGUCUGAACUUUUAAUAUCUGAACUUUUCCAACAUGAAUAAGGUUUUCAGUCAAAAGAUAUCAAUGUUAUGAGCAAGCCUUUUAACAAUACAAUGAAUAAAUAGAUUGUUUUCUUCUUCUAACCUUGUAUUUAAAUGUGUUUUAAGUGAAUGGAAUUCAUUCUUGUUAAGAAAAAAAAAAAGCUUGAAGGUAUGAGGACUUCAGGUUGUGCUCUUGCUUUGCUUAGGUUUCCUGUUCUGUUGCAUGACAACUUCUGUUGUGCUGUUGAUAUGUAGCACUUUUCAGUAGGUCUGUUAAAUUGUGCAAUGCAUUUUUUUAUAUUUACAACCAAAACAAUAAAGGAUAUUUUUUGGAAGAAA